CUGGCAUUCACGCACUUCCGUGUAUAUUAACGCAGGCACAGUAGCCUGCUUCCCUGUCUUCUCCCUCGCAGGAGCUGCAAGUUACGCUUAAGUGAUGCUGCCGUUUUGUCCUCUUUUGUUGCCUUCAAUUACGUUUCACUGUCCGUUGCUCACUCGCACCGUGCACGCGCACGUGAUCUGCCGGCGCCGCGCUGAAGGUGUGCGCCAGGACUUCUGUUUUGCUCCGCGCGUCCGUACGCGGCAGAUCUGCCCGUCUGCCCCGCUCCUUGGGAGUCAACGGACUAAGGACAUUACACUGGAUACUGACUACCUUGACACUUGUCCAAGUGGAUUAUUGUUGUUGUACUCCUGUGUAUGUGUAUAGAUCUGGCACCUUAUUGAAUCCUCAUUUUAAUAUUCAUUGUGUUUGUUUCAGGAGCUGAGUGUCCGGUCUGGUGUUGGUCGUGGUUCU